UACGUAGGGAGCGAGCGUUGUCCGGAUUCAUUGGGCGUAAAGAGCUCGUAGGCGGCUUGGCAAGUCGGGUGUGAAAACUCCAGCUCAACCUGGAGACGCCACCCGAUCACUGCCAUGGCUAGAGUCCGGUAGGGGACCACGGAAUUCCUGGUGUAGCGGUGAAAUGCGUAGAGAUGUGGAGGAACACCGAUGGCGAAGGCAGCCCCCUGGGUCAAGAUUGACGCUCAUGCACGAAAGCGUGGGGAGCAAACAGG
rnacentral:rRNA from 1 species